rnacentral:rRNA from 1 species
AGGACGAACGCUGGCGGCGUGCUUAACACAUGCAAGUCGAACGGUAAGGCCCCUUCGGGGGUACACGAGUGGCGAACGGGUGAGUAACACGUGGGUAAUCUGCCCUGCACUUCGGGAUAAGCCUGGGAAACUGGGUCUAAUACCGGAUAUGAACUCCUGCCGCAUGGUGGGGGUUGGAAAGUUUUUCGGUGCAGGAUGAGCCCGCGGCCUAUCAGCUUGUUGGUGGGGUAAUGGCCUACCAAGGCGACGACGGGUAGCCGGCCUGAGAGGGUGAUCGGCCACACUGGGACUGAGACACGGCCCAGACUCCUACGGGAGGCAGCAGUGGGGAAUAUUGCACAAUGGGCGAAAGCCUGAUGCAGCGACGCGCGUGGGGGAUGACGGUCUUCGGAUUGUAAACCCUUUCAGUGGGACGAAGCGCAAGUGACGGUACCUGCAGAAGAAGCACGGCUAACUACGUGCCAGCAGCCGC